CAGGGACAAGAAGACUACAGACGUUUGAAAGUGGCACUUUUGUGGCCGUUGUAUGUUCUGAAGUGUAGGGUGCCUGAGAAACGAUGCUUAAGUUCUUCUGGAAAGGAGCGCCAUGGAGGGUGAUAGCCCCGUCUAGCAUUUGACCUCAUUAUUUAGGAUCUUAACAUGGAGUCGAGUUGUUUGGGAAUGCAGCUCAAAUGGGUGGUAUGCUCCAUCUAAAGCUAAAUAUCUGCGAGAGACCGAUAGUAAAGUGUACAGUACUGUGAAGGC
rnacentral:rRNA from 1 species